rnacentral:rRNA from 1 species
GACGAACGCUGGCGGCGUGCUUAACACAUGCAAGUCGAACGAUGAAGCCCAGCUUGUGGGGUGGUGUAGUGGCGAACGGGUGGGUGACACAUAAGCAACUUGCCCGAGACUCUGGCAUAAAUACCGUAGACGGUGGCGAACACAUGAUAGGUGCCAUAUUGACCUCUCCUCUUGAUUGAAAGAUUUUUCGGUUUCUGAUCGUCGCAGAGCCUAUCAGCUUGUUUGUGGGGUAAUGGACUACCAAGGCGUCGACGGGUAGCCAGCCUGAGAGGGUGACCGGGCACAAGGGGACUGCGAGACGGCCCAGAAUCCAACGGGCGGCAGCAGUGGGGAAUAUUGCACAAUGGGCGCAAGCGUGAUGCAGAAAUGCUGCGUGAGGGAUGACGGCUUUCGGGUUGUAAACCUCUUUUAGUAGGGAAGAAGCGGAAGUGACGGUACCUGAAGAAAAAGCACCGGCUAACUACGUG